UGGGGAAUAAUGCGCAAUGGGCGAAAGCCUGACGCAGCGACGCCGCGUGGGGGAUGACGGCCUUCGGGUUGUAAACCUCUUUCGACCGGGACGAAGCGCAAGCGACGGUACCGGUAGAAGAAGCACCGGCCAACUACGUGCCAGCAGCCGCGGUAAUACGUAGGGUGCGAGCGUUGUCCGGAAUUAUUGGGCGUAAAGAGCUCGUAGGCGGUGUGUCGCGUCGGUCGUGAAAACUUGGGGCUUAACCCUGAGCGUGCGGUCGAUACGGGCAUCACUUGAGUUCGGCAGGGGAGACUGGAAUUCCUGGUGUAGCGGUGAAAUGCGCAGAUAUCAGGAGGAACACCGGUGGCGAAGGCGGGUCUCUGGGCCGACACUGACGCUGAGGAGCGAAAGCGUGGGGAGCGAAC
rnacentral:rRNA from 1 species